GAAGAGAUUGGAAAGAGAUUGUUUGAGCAAUAAUGGGUAUACUGGUCUGGCUGGUUGCUCCAAGUGCUUGAACAGUCUUUAUCAACUUAGUGAGGCCAGAGUUGGAAACAAGAGCAGGUUAGAGGAUAGGACUAGGAAAAUGCGAAGCAGGGAUUGCCAAUUGAUGGGUCUAACAUGGCUUCUCAACAAAAAUCGAUCCAGUUACAUUCACACGGUUUCUUCUGUUUUAAGGGCUCUAAUGUUGACGGAAGGCAGUUCAGAUCCUCAGUCGUGCACACUCAACAGUGAUGGUAUGCCUCUUGCAGUAGACUCCACGGAGAUCAACGAUGAAUCUGCUGCAGUUUCUAUUCAAGCAUCAUUUAAUCCAUAUAUCCUAACUCUAGUUUUAGUGUACAUAAACUGUGUGUCAUUGCUCUUCAAAUAUUAGUUAAUCUCCAGC
rnacentral:misc_RNA from 1 species